UGAAAGCGAUUACAUGAUUUCUUAUGGAUU
rnacentral:piRNA from 1 species